UACAGAGGAUGCAAGCGUUAUCCGGAAUGAUUGGGCGUAAAGCGUCUGUAGGUGGCUUUUUAAGUCCGCCGUCAAAUCCCAGGGCUCAACUCUGGACAGGCGGUGGAAACUACCAAGCUGGAGUACGGUAGGGGCAGAGGGAAUUUCCGGUGGAGCGGUGAAAUGCGUAGAUAUUGGGAGGAACACCAGUGGCGAAGGCGGCUCACUGGACUGGUACUGACGCUGAUGCGCGAAAGCGUGGGGAGCAAACAGG
rnacentral:rRNA from 1 species